rnacentral:rRNA from 1 species
AGGUCUCGAGCGUUGUCCGGAUUUAUUGGGCGUAAAGCGAGCGCAGGCGGUUAUUUAAUUCUGCAGUUAAAGGCCGUGGCUCAACCAUGGUUCGCUUUGGAAACUGGAUAACUUGAGUGCAGAAGGGGAGAGUGGAAUUCCAUGUGUAGCGGUGAAAUGCGUAGAUAUAUGGAGGAACACCGGUGGCGAAAGCGGCUCUCUGGUCUGUAACUGACGCUGAGGCUCGAAAGCGUGGGGAGCAAA